GACCAGUAGCCCAAAUUAAUCCUAAAUUGAUCCAACCUUCGAUGAGGGGAGAGAAGAAGAGAGGGAGGGCGGAGUCGGCGAGCUUGAGCGAACGGGGAGAGGAAGAGGGAGAGGGAGACGCCUGUGGAGGUUGGUCUCCGGCGGGAGGGAGGGAGAGAAACCGAGAGAGAGGGGCAGGCCAAGCGCGAGAAAGCGCCCGCAGAUGAGUUGCGUGCGUGGGAGACCAUGUGUUGGUGAGCGAGCGCAGUUGUCUGGUGGGUUCCGAUGGAUUUGUUUUGCUGCGGCGCGGAGAGCAUCGAUUUGUGUUGGUGGUGACGUGCUUAGGUGGGUGAUGGAGUCCAUGGACUCCGGCAAGUGAUAGAGAUGCAGCUGGGCAACAGUGCGUGUAGGGUUUUAUUCCAGCAGUCCUGUGAUUGUGGAAAAAUUUAGGUUGUGGCACUGGGUCGGUGACUGGAGCGGGUUUUAAUUUUCAUCAGAAUUGUUUUUGUGCACAUGAACGCGAAGCUAUUAUUGAGCCUACUCCAGGAGAUAGCCUGUGUUUGUGAAGACAACAAUUGCUAUCAUGUAUGAGGAAUACUUGUGAAGAGUUUGUUGAUAUGUUGGAUGGAAUGUUCUCUUUUGGCAUUGCUCCACUCUACAUGAGCUCUGGGAUCUCAACAGUUUUACUGGUUUUCUUCAGAAAGGAAACCUUUAAGUGAUGAUUGUGAGCGUUUCACAGCUUUUCUUUGUGGAAAUGUUUACAAGAGCUAAAAAGGUAUGUCUUACGACCUUGCAGUUAUGCUAGGAAAUCAAUCCUAAUUUCUAAAUGAUACAAUAUAAAGAAGUCACAAAUAUAGGGGAAUCUAAUCUAGUAACGAUAAAUAAAUAAGAAUUAGUGCGAAAUGAUUUUGAUUAAAGAUAUCCAAAAUGAAAAUGAUUAAUAAUCUAAAUAUAAAAAUUUUCAAAUCAAGAUAUCCAAACAACAUAAAAUCACAGUUUCAAUGUAUGUGAAAUCAGACAAGAGUACAAUUGCAAUGAUAACAGAACAGAACAAAAACAAUUUAUUCACAAAUAACAGUGGACUUUAUUUGUAGCAUGUUGUCAGCUUGGAAGAAUCAUUUCCUGCCCACAAAUCAGAAAUCACAAAUUCGAAGAAAUUAUUAGUGUUAGAUAAGAAAACAUUGGCUGCAUAAUCUAAUAGUUUUGUAAUUAUAAUUCCAAACUCAAUACUCAGUUUGUGUCCCUGUGAAUUAUCAAAGCAAAAUGCUCACAAAAGCAAGCCAGCCCCGGAACAUCAGUUCUUGCUAUUCGUGUGGUUGGAUGAAGGUUGACGGUGCCAUGUGCUGUCUGCCAGCCACCAUCAGCCCAAAUGCAUUCUUUGGAAAACUUCAAGAUGCGAAGAAGUGGAUUGCAAUAGCUGCAAGAUAUGUGGUUCUUUAAAUAACCUCCUCAGUUUUUCUUUUGGGCCACUAGUAGUGAGAAGUUGGAACCCUGCACUUAUUAUGGCAAGAAACUUAUCCAUGUCUAGUAGAAAAGGGGUGUCGUCUAAUCGAAAGAUCCUUUUUUACUAAGCCAACCCAAGUCCUUUUUCUCUGCAUUCUUUUGAUCUCUUUCUUAAAUGUAAUCUCUUAAACCUAAAAGAUCUACUUUUCAGUGCAACUGGGGAUGCCAGCCAUUCAUUUGCUGAUCUUUCAGGAGUGUGUAUGGGUAAUGGGUGUCCUUGCGUUGUCUCAGUUCAGAAUAUAUUAAUGUUGGUAUAUGUGAUAGAUGCGUUAGGUGAGUUUUCUGAAAGGAGGAAGUGUAUUAAUGGCCAGGUUUAGUAUAUCAUCGUAACAGAUGGACUUUGAUUGACCAUCAGAUUGUUUCUUCUCUCUGAGUUAGUUUUCUUAAUAUCAGGGCAUUUGACACGGGCAAAUUUAUAUGGAGCCUAGUAUUUAACACGUUCCGUUUUAUGCCCAUACUUUGUGGAGACAACUUUGUUGAGCACAGGUAGAAAGAGGGAGUUUCAUCUCAUGGUGAAAUUAUUAUUCCUUUUUCUUUUGAUCUUACUUUUAAGUUAGUACAUAGAUGAUAUGAAUUAUUACCUAUGGAUAA